rnacentral:lncRNA from 1 species
AUCAUAGUUCAAAAAGCGACGCUUAAGCGUCGCUUUAAGCGAAAAUAGCGGCAAAGCGGUUUUUUUGGACCGCUUUGCCAAACGCUUUUUUUCACAAUAUUAUAAACAACUAGCUUAACUUUAUACUAGUCCAAUAUACCAGAUAACUAUCUUAGCUAGUGGUUUACAACUAAAAAAGCGGUUAACCACUAACAGGCUAACC